CAAGAGUCUGGUCCUGACUUUAACAUCAGUUUUGGUCGAACUUACACAUGCAAGUCUCCGCACACCCGUGAGGAUGCCCUUGAUCCCCCAAUUGGGGACGAGGGGCCGGCAUCAGGCACGCAAUUAAUGCAGCCCAAGACGCCUUGCUUAGCCACACCCCCAAGGGAACCCAGCAGUGAUAAACAUUAAGCCAUAAGCGAAAGCUCGACUUAGUUAAAGCCAAGAGAGCCGGUAAAACUCGUGCCAGCCACCGCGGUUAUACGAGAGGCUCAAAUUGAUGCUCGUCGGCGUAAAGAGUGAUUACAGGAAUAUAAACAACUAAAGCCGAAUACCCCUCAGGCUGUUAUACGCAUCUGGGGAAAUGAAGCCCCAAAACGAAGGUAGCUUUAAUAUAUUAACCUCGAAUUCACGACAACUGAGACACAAACUGGGAUUAGAUACCCCACUAUGCUCAGCCUUAAACCUUGAUGAUAAAGUACAGAUAUCAUCCGCCAGGGGACUACAAGCGCCAGCUUAAAACCCAAAGGACUUGGCGGUGCCUCAGACCCACCUAGAGGAGCCUGUUCUAUAACCGAUAAUCCCCGUUAGACCUCACCACCCCUUGUCAACCCCGCCUAUAUACCGCCGUCGCCAGCUUACCUUAUGAGGGACUAAUAGUAAGCCUAAUGGGUAAAUCCCAAAACGUCAGGUCGAGGUGUAGCGAAUGGGGUGGGAAGAAAUGGGCUACAUUUUCUGACCCACAGAAUAUCACGAAUAUUGCUCUGAAAUAAAGCACCCUGAAGGUGGAUUUAGCAGUAAAAAGAAAACAGAGUGUUCUUUUGAAACUGGCUCUGAGGCGCGCACACACCGCCCGUCACUCUCCUCAAGUCAUAAAAUUAAAGAUACUUAAGAAACAAGAAGACAUAAGAGGAGGCAAGUCGUAACAUGGUAAGUGUACCGGAAGGUGCACUUGGAAUAAC
rnacentral:ncRNA from 1 species